GACGAACGCUGGCGGCGUGCUUAACACAUGCAAGUCGAGCGGAAAGGCCCUUCGGGGUACUCGAGCGGCGAACGGGUGAGUAACACGUGAGUAAUCUGCCCUUGGCUUUGGGAUAACUACCGGAAACGGUGGCUAAUACCGGAUACGACAACCGUCUGCAUGGGCUGGUUGUGGAAAGUUUUUUCGGCCAGGGAUGUGCUCGCGGCCUAUCAGCUUGUUGGUGGGGUAAUGGCCUACCAAGGCUUCGACGGGUAGCCGGCCUGAGAGGGUGACCGGCCACACUGGGACUGAGACACGGCCCAGACUCCUACGGGAGGCAGCAGUGGGGAAUAUUGGACAAUGGGCGGAAGCCUGAUCCAGCAACGCCGCGUGAGGGAUGACGGCCUUCGGGUUGUAAACCUCUUUCAGUACCGACGAAGCGCCGAUGAUGGUGGUGACGGUAGGUACAGAAGAAGCACCGGCCUACUACGUG
rnacentral:rRNA from 1 species